GUCAUUUUUUAAAAAGCCCCUAGGGAAAGUUGCAAAGCACUUUGAAGAGAGAGUUAAAGAGGACGUGAAACCGGUGAGGUGGAAACGGAUAGAGUCGGCGUAUCUCUCAAGUAUUCAUUUACAUUAUUUUUUAUGUUGUGAUCUCUGAGCUCCAGAUUGGGACAGAAAGAAGCAGCAUAAUUUUCUGUGAUGCAUUUACUUGUUUGGUGCUUGGGGAUGUUUGAGGCAGAUUUGUGUCCGCCGUUUUGAGGCCAGCUUGCUGGUACCCAAACGGUGUUAGCAUUUUUUGUCUUGAACAUUUGAGUAUGGCUUACGGGCAUUUAUUGGUUCGAUCUGAGUGUAAGUUACGGUCGCAUGCGACACGUGCUUUCCAAUUAGUUCGGUCCACUUAAUGCUCUCGUACUCGUUCCCCAUGUAAAAGCCGGUCAUCUAUCCGACCCGUCUUGAAACACGGACCAAGGAGUUUAUCGUGUGCGCAAGUUUUUGGGUGUUAAAAACCUAAAGGCGAAAUGAAAGUAAAUGGCUCUUUAGAGUCUGAUGUGCGAUCUAGUAAAAAAGUGCAGCAUGGCCCCAUUCUAACUGUUUACAGUAGGGUGGAGGAAGAGCGUACGCGGUGAGACCCGAAAGAUGGUGAACUAUUCCUGAGCAGGACGAAGCCAGAGGAAACUCUGGUGGAAGUCCGAAGCGGUUCUGACGUGCAAAUCGAUCGUCUGACUUGGGUAUCAGUGGCGAAUACUAAUCGAAGCCCCUACUACUGUUUUCUUUUACAAA
rnacentral:rRNA from 1 species